rnacentral:rRNA from 1 species
CUCCCCCAAGAGUCCACAUCGACGGGGAGGUUUGGCACCUCGAUGUCGGCUCAUCACAUCCUGGGGCGGUAGUAGGUCCCAAGGGUUGGGCUGUUCGCCCAUUAAAGUGGUACGCGAGCUGGGUUCAGAACGUCGUGAGACAGUUCGGUCCCUAUCCGUCGCAGGCGUAGGAAAUUUGAGAAGACCUGUCCUUAGUACGAGAGGACCGGGAUGGACGUACCUCUGGUGUACCA